rnacentral:tmRNA from 1 species
GGGGAUGUAAUGGUUUCGACAUUACAUAAGAAGCAUAAAAAGCAAGUAGUGGAUGGUCGCUUUGGCCACUUAAAAAAAGCGAAAACUAAAUUAAACGCUGAUAAUAACGAAUUAGCAUUAGCUGCCUAAAUGCGGCUACGCGUUAUUAAAAUAUCCCACAUGUUUUAAUAAUGUGUCAUAAUUUUAGUGGGGAACGAACCUGUUUCUUGCUUUGGAAAUAGGUGGUAUUGUAAAAGCUGUGUUGAAAGUUAACCUGUUUGUUGGUGAACUUUUAAUGAAUAUAAAAAACAAACUAAACUUGUAGAAAUUUAUGUGUAAAAUGUUAUGGACAGGAGUUCGACUCUCCUCAUCUCCACCA